rnacentral:rRNA from 1 species
GCCCAGACUCCUACGGGAGGCAGCAGUGGGGAAUAUUGCACAAUGGGGGAAACCCUGAUGCAGCGACGCCGCGUGAGCGAUGAAGUAUUUCGGUAUGUAAAGCUCUAUCAGCAGGGAAGAAGAUGACGGUACCUGACUAAGAAGCCCCGGCUAACUACGUGCCAGCAGCCGCGGUAAUACGUAGGGGGCAAGCGUUAUCCGGAUUUACUGGGUGUAAAGGGAGCGUAGACGGCGGCGCAAGCCAGAUGUGAAAGCCCGGGGCUCAACUCCGGGACUGCAUUUGGAACUGUGUGGCUGGAGUGUCGGAGAGGCAGGCGGAAUUCCUGGUGUAGCGGUGAAAUGCGUAGAUAUCAGGAGGAACACCGGCGGCGAAGGCGGCCUGCUGGACCGUGACUGACGUUGAGGCUCGAGAGCGUGGGGAGCAAACAGGAUUAGAUACCCCGGUA